AGGCGGGGCAGGGGCGGGGCCUCAUGGAAGGGGUGGAGUGGGGGAGGUGUCAGUAAUGCGACCCUCGGGCCACUGUACUAAUCCUCAUGUGGCCCUCAUGGUCAUUUGAGUUUGAGACCCCUGAUCUAGGGGGUUCUUUUCAACAAUAGAACACAGAACCAGCUCGAACCCCCACCUGGUAACCUGGGGCAAUUACACACCACCCCAUGGGCGCCUCUACUUCCCCACUCACAAGCACAGAGUAUGUGUGUAGAAAAUAAACUUUUAAUGACAGGAGGGAAGUCACACGACAUUAAUUAGGGAAAAUGCCACAAGCAGGAUUCAUAAGCAUAAAACUGUGAGCAGGACACCCACCCCAGAGUGCGUGGGGAAGAGCCUUCUGCCUCAUGUCCUUGAGUUCUACAACCAACAGUUCUUUUACUGUGCCCCCCUCUGCUCCCUCACCAGACCCCACUCACAGGGGUUGUCCUUGGUCAGUGAGGACCCAGGGUUCAGAGGUGCAUCUUGUUGUUCUGCUAUCUUAGCACUUGUGCUGGCUGGCUGUCCUGCUAGUAACCUGUUCCUCUCCACCUGGCUGCCCCACCAGGUGACUGGUUGCCACUUUCACUGGCCACUCUUGCCAGCUACCCACCUUCUGCUGCUAUUUGCUGUGACCUCUGUAGGUUAGUCUCUUGGUGAUUUUUUAGCUCUCAGCAGGCUGGGUAGAAACACUGCUCCACCAUAAGGGAUGUCUGCUCUUCUUGGGUACUUCAAAUAACAAAAGGCUCCUAAUGGAGCCUAUUGAGGUCUGAGGAGAAAAAGGUUAAACCAGACCAGAGACCCUUAGGAAGAGGCCCCAUCUCCUAGCUAGAACAGCUGUCACCACCCCUCUGACUUUCACAGGCCUCAGGCCUUCCAGUCCCUGGCUUAGCGAGUUCAUUUCAGCUGAGGGUGACUCCUCACUCGGGACAAGCUCAGCACAGUUCUGCUCCCCUUUAGGCAUACAAUGAAGAUAACAACAUUGACAACAACAUUUCACUAGGUGAUUUGUAACCCACCACCAGCCAAAGCUGGUCACUUGGAGCUCCACAACUCUCUGCUGGAUACCUCUGCACAGGAGGCUCCUCUACGCAAAGCUGCUCUUGCUGCUGACCGAGCUGCGGACGCUCAAGGUGGAGAACACACGGCAGAUCCUGCACAUCCAGGACCUGACCACCAUGACGCCGCUGCUCUCCGAGAUCAUCAGCUAGAGCCCAGAGUCAGGACCUGCUGGCUGGCCCCCCUGGCUGGGGCCAGGAUCCCACUGGACCGGGGCCCCCUCGCUGGGGUGGGUACCCCACUGGACCGGGGCCCCCUCACUGGGGCCGGGAUUCCACUGGACAGGGCCUCCCCUCGCUGGGGCCAGGACCCCACAGGACUGGAACCCCCCCCCCCAGCUACUUUCCAGGCCCAUCUGCUGCCCCCCAGGAGCUCAAGGACUCCUCGGCUGAGCCCUGCAGCCGGAUCCAGCUGCCCAAACUUGUUGCUCCUGGCUCAUUGAUCCUCUCCCUUCCACUCAGCGAAUCCAACCCACUCUCAGCUCCCAGGGCCUGGGCCGGCUGUGGCUCUGAGGAAUCAAAACCGACCCCUCGGCUCAGCUGAGCCCCUGCCCGGCCAGCACCGCUUGUGCAGAGCAGCCCAGGGACACGGCUGAAACGGGCCAGAACCAGCCUGCGUCUGGACCAGAUGCGAGCCUGACGCUUGAGCCCAGGCAGGCCCAGAUGCUGGACACUGCAGCCAGGCAGGGGUGGGACUGGGCAUGGUGGCCAUUCGGUUCCACCUGUGGCCUCUGGGGCUCUAGCCAGUCUGUCAAGUGUCACCUUGGGCCAGUGUCUGCACUGGAGCCUAGCCAGGCCCAGCGCUGGGAGCAGGAACGUUGGGCAUGGCUGAGAGUGAGACACCAGGUGGGAAGGGGAGUCACACCCAUGAGUGGGGCAGGCCCUGUGAUUCCCCAUGGCCUGCUCUGGACCCAGCAGGCAGGGUGGGGCUGCCCUCUGCAGCUCACAUGCCUGGAGGAGCACCCAGCCCAGGAUGUGCCAGCACCUGCAGCCAGCCUGGCACGAGGCCUGCAUCCCCCAGCCCUGUGUGGGGCCUGCCCUUCAGCCCCACACAGAGGCCUGCAUCCCCCUGCCUCUGUGUGGGGCCUUCCCCCGUUCCAGAGCCUGUGCCUUGGCACUGCCCCACCCCAGCACUGCCUCCUGCCCCAUACAGAGCCUGCCCCCAUCCAUACAGGGCCUGGCCCUCAGCCCUGCUCCAUCCCACAGGGAAUGCCCCCCUCAGUCCUGCCCCCCCAAUUCAGGGCGUGCCUCUUGACCCUGCCGCUCCCUAGCACAGGAUCAGCGCCCUCCCAGCCCGCUGGCCACACAGGAUUGACCCUUUUAAACAGGGAAACUGAGGCACCAAGCAGUGCUGUGACUUGAGCCUCUGGCUGUUGGUUUCUCAGCCUGGCUCUGCUCCCAAGGGCCGUGGCUCUAGCUGCCAGGAGCCCAAUAGUGCUGCCAGCAUAGCCGAGAGGGGCCCAGCUGGGGGGCCAAGGAGAUUGCGCCCGUUUGCCCGGCUGCCCUUGUAGGGUGGACGAGGUCUUAUUGGCUGGGUCCCUCAUGGCCCUGGACAUGGGGAGGGUAUUUGUUUGAGGCCUGUCGCUGGAGUUGUGGGUGCUCAGCGUAGGCCAGUGCCCAGAGGCCCUGGGGUCAGAGAGCACAGAACCCAGGUGUCCUACUUGUCCCAGGUGUGCCCGUUUACUCCAGCGAGAUGCUCCCAGUGCAGGGGGGCCCCACCGGUGCCAGCUUUACCCAGGCUUCAAUAACCCCCCUUCACCAUGCGCGGUGAUGUUGUGUCACCCCUGCCGUAGGCACUUUCCCCUCCCUCAGCCAUGCACACCUGGGCUAUUGCCCAUGGCCACCCCACAGCUCCAGGUCAUGCCACCAUGGCUGUGUCUGGGGGGGGCUCACAAGGGGCUGGGCUGCUGGCAGGGUGGGCAGGGACGUGGCACUGUGGCUCCUGGGGGCAUAGCUCGGGGGGGCACAUGUGGGGUUGGGCUGGUGGGGGUAGGGCCAUGGUGCCUGGGACAUGUCUGUCACUAGCACACUUUAGGGGCCAAAUUAAAGCCUCAUUUAUUUA